rnacentral:rRNA from 1 species
UACGGAGGGUGCAAGCGUUAUCCGGAAUUAUUGGGCGUAAAGAGUUCGUAGGCGGUUUGUCGCGUCUGCCGUGAAAGUCCGGGGCUCAACUCCGGAUCUGCGGUGGGUACGGGCAGACUAGAGUGAUGUAGGGGAGACUGGAAUUCCUGGUGUAGCGGUGAAAUGCGCAGAUAUCAGGAGGAACACCGAUGGCGAAGGCAGGUCUCUGGACAUUAACUGACGCUGAGGAGCGAAAGCGUGGGGAGCGAACAGG